AUGUUGAGAAGAAUAUUUAUUAACGUCAACAGUUACAAGAUAACGAAACUUUGCGACUUUUCUGUUGUUACAUUUCAUUUGCUGGUUCUUUGCUUACAAAUAUUAUACAUGAUUAGAAAUUUCAACGUAAAUCUGUUGAUCAGAUACGGCCCGACGACUGCACUUUUCCUGCUUGUAAAUGAAAUAGAACUGUUGUGAUAUGUGUUGACUUAACGUUUUUUUGAGAUGAUUGUGUCAGCAGUUCUUUCUGGGGCUUUGGAAAAUGACAUUGGCACAACACUAGGAUUUUCUCAGAAAAUUUGUUGGUCGCUUGAUGUAAUAGGAAAAAAUGCUCGAAUGAAGCUCGAGAGAAAUGAUUAAUGUCACUAUAUCAGCCAUUUUGCUGCUUUUGUCAAGUACUUUAGUUAUCAACUUGCCCUUUUUUGGGUACCACAAAGAUGUUUUCAUGUGUAUUCAAGUUUUUGAGACUUACUUUGGCACGUGGUCGUAUUUGUUAAAUGUAUUAUAUUUCACCGUGUUGCCAAUUUUGAGCUACCAUGGAGUUAAACCAUGUUUUAUUUUUGUUUACGCCAUAUUACAAAUACAGCUGCAAUUCUCCCUCAUUGAAGAGUAUUUGUUUCAAACAUAUGAGGUGGAUCAUUUGAAAAGUUGGAAGUAUUUACAAGACGCCCGCUAUCAACAAGAAAUAGGAAAUUCCUUACGUCGUUGCAUACAACACCACAUUGCUUUGAAACAGUUUUAAUUGCUCAAAUUACGAAAAUAUUUUUGUUAAUAAUUCUGUAUAGGUUUGUUAAAAUGAUGGUUGAUGUUGUACUGAUAUACAUGCCGUUUAUUUUUGUACUGGGUUUGUUCCUUUUGAUUACCUGUUUUGCGUUUAUCAUAAAUUUUGCGGAGACUACGACUAACAUUAUAAAAAUACAAGUAUUCAUGUUUGUCGCAAGUACUUUGGGCAUCACUAUACUGUUUUGUUGGAAUGGUCAGCAACUGAAAAAUGUGAGGAGCAAUAUUUUUUUUACUUUGGGCAGAGCUCCUUGGUACUUUUGGAAUCUUGAAAACAUUAAAAUUCUUUUAAUGUUUAUUACAAAUUGUACCAAAAAUGACAGUAUUAUUCUGGCCGGGAUUUGUUUAGAUUACAAAAUGUUUGUUUCGGUCUUUCGAACCUCCAUCUCAUAUGCACUAGUUUUGUUCAAUUUUCGCAAACGCAGUUUCGGGUAAAACAACAGGAAGGAAAAUAUUGAAGUACCACAAUUCUUUUAAAUAUGCAUUUGUUGUAGUUUUUAGGUAAAUAUUUAAUAUUAUUAUGUAAGGUAUCAAAUUUGAAUUUUUUUGAUGUUCAAACUUACUUUUCUUGGAAUGUUGAAUGUUCUUAUUAAAAAUUUUAGUUACGAUAAAAAUUAAUUUUACGAUAAAAUAUAAUUGUUGCAACAAAUAAGAAUAAAAAACGUCACUUCAUAGUUCGAACAUCGUCGUUUGAACAGAGUUAUCAAUUUAUUGCUUUAAUUAAAAUAUUUAUUAAUCAAAAUUCUAAAACAAACGAUGGUUGAAUAAUACUUUGUGCAAAAAAUACGUAUGGAUUUUAGGAAACUUUCCUAACAUUCAAUUUUUAAGGGCUUUUCUUAAAACUCGAAA